CAAAGGUGAGCCAGUACAGGAUGGACCCGCGUCUGAUUAGCUAGUUGGUAAGGUAACGGCUUACCAAGGCGACGAUCAGUAGCCGACCUGAGAGGGUGAUCGGCCACAUUGGAACUGAGACACGGUCCAAACUCCUACGGGAGGCAGCAGUGGGGAAUAUUGCACAAUGGGCGAAAGCCUGAUGCAGCAACGCCGCGUGAGUGAUGAAGGCCUUCGGGUCGUAAAACUCUGUCCUCAAGGAAGAUAAUGACGGUACUUGAGGAGGAAGCCCCGGCUAACUACGUGCCAGCAGCCGCGGUAAUACGUAGGGGGCUAGCGUUAUCCGGAUUUACUGGGCGUAAAGGGUGCGUAGGCGGUCUUUCAAGUCAGGAGUGAAAGGCUACGGCUCAACCGUAGUAAGCUCUUGAAACUGGGAGACUUGAAUGCAGGAGAGGAGAGUGGAAUUCCUAGUGUAGCGGUGAAAUGCGUAGAUAUUAGGAGGAACACCAGUUGCGAAGGCGGCUCUCUGGACUGUAACUGACGCUGAGGCACGAAAGCGUGGGGAGCAAACAGGAUUAGAUACCCUGGUAGUCCACGCUGUAAACGAUGAGUACUAGGUGUCGGGGGUUACCCCCUUCG
rnacentral:rRNA from 1 species